GACGAACGCUGGCGGCGUGCCUAAUACAUGCAAGUCGAACGCUGAAGAGAGGAGCUUGCUCUUCUUGGAUGAGUUGCGAACGGGUGAGUAACGCGUAGGUAACCUGCCUUGUAGCGGGGGAUAACUAUUGGAAACGAUAGCUAAUACCGCAUAACAAUGGAUGACACAUGUCAUUUAUUUGAAAGGGGCAAUUGCUCCACUACAAGAUGGACCUGCGUUGUAUUAGCUAGUAGGUGAGGUAAUGGCUCACCUAGGCGACGAUACAUAGCCGACCUGAGAGGGUGAUCGGCCACACUGGGACUGAGACACGGCCCAGACUCCUACGGGAGGCAGCAGUAGGGAAUCUUCGGCAAUGGGGGCAAACCUGACCGAGCAACGCCGCGUGAGUGAAGAAGGGUUUCGGAUCGUAAAGCUCUGUUGUAAGUCAAGAACGGGUGAGAGAGUGGAAAGUUCACACUGUGACGGUAGCUUACCAGAAAGGGACGGCUAACUACGUG
rnacentral:rRNA from 1 species